GACGUAGGGGGCGAGCGUUGUCCGGAAUCACUGGGCGUAAAGAGCUCGUAGGCGGGGUUGCACGUCUUGGAGUAAAUCCAUCUGCUUAACGGAUGGGUCGUCUGAGAUACGGCAGCUCUUGAGGACAGAAGAGGAAAGCAGAAUUCCGGGUGUAGCGGUGAAAUGCGUAGAUAUCCGGAGGAAUACCAGUGGCGAAGGCGGCUUUUUGGUCUGAUUCUGACGCUGAGGAGCGAAAGCCAGGGGAGCGAACGGG
rnacentral:rRNA from 1 species